CGUCAGUCCGUGGCUCCGUGGAGAAACGGCACCGGCAAACUUUCUUCCACUGUACGUCCCGCUAGUAACAGAUACUGCAUCUUUUAUAAACCGAAGGCUGAGAUGGGUGACGGAGCUGAACAAGAAGUCGGAAGCUUGCAGAGGUGACUUCGUGAUGUUUGAGGGAAG
rnacentral:lncRNA from 1 species